UUAUAUUUCCUAUUUUAUUCUGCUUUAGGUUUCUUACUAUUUCUAUUUUUAUUUCUCUCUUAUUUUCAAGUUUUUAUUGAAAUUAAAAUGUUGGUACAUUUUUAUUUUCUAUAACGUAUUUAAAGACACCACAUGCAGCCCAAGUGACAAUUAAAAUUUUUUUAUUGAUCCAUUUCAGAGUUCCUUCCUCUUUAGAGGUUCUUUAUCUUCUAGUAGUGGAUUUAAUUAUCC
rnacentral:lncRNA from 1 species